GACGAACGCUGGCGGCGUGCCUAGUACAUGCAAGUAGAACGCUGAAGGAGGAGCUUGCUUCUCUGGAUGAGUUGCGAACGGGUGAGUAACGCGUAGGUAACCUGCCUGGUAGCGGGGGAUAACUAUUGGAAACGAUAGCUAAUACCGCAUAAUAGCAGUUGUUGCAUGACAACUGUUUGAAAGGUGCAAUUGCACCACUACCAGAUGGACCUGCGUUGUAUUAGCUAGUUGGUGGGGUAACGGCUCACCCAGGCGACGAUACAUAGCCGACCUGAGAGGGUGAUCGGCCACACUGGGACUGAGACACGGCCCAGACUCCUACGGGAGGCAGCAGUAGGGAAUCUUCGGCAAUGGACGGAAGUCUGACCGAGCAACGCCGCGUGAGUGAAGAAGGUUUUCGGAUCGUAAAGCUCUGUUGUAAGAGAAGAACGAGUGUGAGAGUGGAAAGUUCACACUGUGACGGUAUCUUACCAGAAAGGGACGGCUAACUACGUG
rnacentral:rRNA from 1 species